GCUUCCGGUGGGGCCGUCUCUAGAGUAGAGAUGGCGGCGACAGCGGCCGAAGAUGCGGCCUCUGGCUCUGGCGAGCCCCGGGAAGAGGCGGAAGCUCCGGGCCCCGCCUGGGAUGAGUCACAGCUACGAAGUUACAGCUUUCCGACCCGGCCCAUCCCACGUCUGAGCCAGAGUGACCCUCGGGCGGAAGAGCUCAUCGAAAAUGAGGAGCCUGUGGUGCUGACCGACACAAACCUUGUGUAUCCUGCUCUGAAGUGGGACCUAGAAUACCUGCAAGAGAAUAUUGGCAACGGAGAUUUCUCUGUGUACAGUGCCAGCACCCAUAAGUUCUUAUACUAUGAUGAAAAGAAGAUGGCUAAUUUCCAGAACUUUAAGCCGAGGUCCAACAGGGAGGAAAUUAAAUUUCAUGAGUUUGUUGAGAAACUACAGGACAUACAGCAGCGUGGGGGAGAAGAGCGGUUGUAUCUGCAGCAAACGCUCAAUGACACCGUGGGGAGGAAGAUUGUCAUGGACUUCUUGGGUUUUAACUGGAACUGGAUUAAUAAGCAACAGGGAAAACGUGGCUGGGGGCAACUGACCUCUAACCUGCUGCUCAUCGGCAUGGAAGGAAAUGUGACACCUGCUCACUAUGAUGAGCAGCAGAACUUCUUUGCCCAGAUAAAAGGCCAUAAGCGUUGCAUCUUAUUCCCUCCAGAUCAGUUUGAGUGCCUCUAUCCAUACCCUGUCCAUCAUCCCUGUGACAGGCAGAGCCAGGUGGACUUUGACAAUCCUGACUACGAGAGUUUCCCCAAUUUCCGAAAUGUGGUUGGUUAUGAAACAGUGGUGGGCCCUGGUGAUGUUCUGUACAUCCCAAUGUACUGGUGGCACCACAUAGAGUCAUUACUAAAUGGGGGAAUUACCAUCACUGUGAACUUCUGGUAUAAGGGGGCUCCUACCCCUAAGAGAAUUGAAUAUCCUCUCAAAGCUCAUCAGAAAGUAGCCAUCAUGAGGAACAUCGAGAAGAUGCUUGGAGAGGCCUUGGGGAAUCCACAGGAGGUGGGGCCUUUGUUGAACACCAUGAUUAAAGGCCGUUACAACUAACCUGCAGAGGUCAAGGCCUCCUGCCGGGGGACCGCUAGCUCGUCCACAUGCUUCGUUGAUGAGGACAGGACACUCCAAGCACUAGUAUUGCACGCUGCACUUAAUGGACUGGACUCUUGCCAUGGCCCUGGAGGCAGGUGUUUGGGGCGAGGCAGGGUCUGUCACGGACCAGGGACUGGCAGAGGAGACUUCACAAGGAUGCAGGUCAAGAUGCCUGGCUCCAAAUGGUGGUCCUCUGACUUCUCCUGUCCUAGACUAGCUUCACCAUCCAGUUACACCACCACUGGCCAGCUGUCAGUGGCCACCCAGGUAAUACAGUCCUGAAAUGCAUCUGCCCUGUGUCCUCUACUUCUCCUCUGCUCCUCACUUUCUCUUGCCCUGGCUGCAUCUCUUCUUAACCCCAUUCUAACUGACUUCUCGGGUUCUAAUCUCUUCCUUCUGCAAUUUGUGCUACAGUUUCCCAUCUUUACGGCUGCUUCGUAGUCCAGGAUGCCGACUGGGGCUCCAGCAUCCUAGGCUUAAAGGGAAGAAAGGCAAUCCAUCCAGUUCUCUGCACAGUGAGGAUGGAGUCUGUCUUCUGUCGAAGAAUCCACCACAAGGCUCUCACUUCCUGCUGGAUGGAGUCUGUACUCCUCACUCUGAUAUUGCAUGAACUUUCGUCUGUCCACCCAGGAUCCAUUCACUAUUGGGUCUUUGGCGACAGAACUCAUAUCCACAGAGUAAAGUGAGCCAGGAUUUUGAAACUCUGUUUCUCAGUAUACCUUGAAGAUACGCCACCAUGGGAUUGAACUGUGAGCAAGUAGAAGGUUCCACAGGAAGGCGGAACUAGGUGAACUGCCUGCCUUCCCUUAGUUUCCCCCACGUCUGAGAGGCUUUGGACUAUGAGGUGACCUUAAAGACGCAGACACUUGCUGAGGCUGUACGGAAGCUGUGAUCCCGGUGACAGCAGGGUCACCAUAGCCUACACACUGUAUCCAGAAGUCUCCACUGUAGCUGGAAGUCUCCACAGAAUGUUUGGCAUCAGAAUGAUCAAAAGGAGUCUUUCCCUCUGAGAAGAUAGACAUCAAUUUCUCCACGAACUGCUAACGCUGGUGCGUAUUCCAAAUAAAGCAAACAAAAGACUGAAAUGUGACGUGAAGGUAGAUCGGCCAGAGACUGCAGAACCUGAGGAACAACUCGCUGUUAAAGGAUUAGGAAAUGGAUAACCUAAGGAGACACGUUUUGGACAAUAAUAGCUCUGCUCCAGCAAAUACCACAGGAAACGCUAUAGCCCGCUCCCUACCCGAGCCAACAAAGCGGUCAUGCAGGCAGGCAGAGCAGAAAACAGGGAAGACUGGGUGCGCAUCUCUCCGAUGGUGAGAAGCACUCACUAGAGGUAUGUGGGGGCCCAGCAGCAGUAUGGCACCCCUCCUUCCCUCUCUGCAUUUUUUACCGGGGAGAUACCGGGGAGGCUUGGCUAACAGCCUUCGUGGCCAGGAUGAUGUCGUUGGGGGCCUAGAAGGGGCUCAAACUACUCUCACGCAGCGGUCAUUAGAGGGGCAGAGGGGAAAUUAAUGUCUCCCCCACUUUGCAGUUACAAGAUGAUGAUCCUACCUCCUUAACUGUGCAGCUGUGUUAGAGGUGCUCAGCUAAAGGGAAAAGAUCGAGAUUCAUCUAAUACCCAAAAUGUCUGAGUUUUAACUGAAAAUCAGUCUUCAUACUAAGAACCAGGAAGAUCUCAAACUGAAUUUAAAAAGACAGUCAGAAGAUGUCAACAGAGAAAUGGUAAAAAAUGUUAGGAUUAUCCAACAAAGACUUUAAAGCAGCUGAAAAACACAGAAAAAUGUUUCAGAGGUGCUGAGGAUGUGACUCCAUGGCGGAGCCUGGGCUGGUUCUCUCACGCUGGGAAAGAAAUGUCUUAGUCACGGCUGUGUUGCUGUGAGGAGACACCAUGACCACGAAAGCUUGGAGAAGACAGCAUUUAGUCCGGGCCUUACUAACAGUUUGAGGAUGAGACUGGGACUGUCAUGGGCUUGCCUCCACCAAGACCACGCCCCCGCCAAGGCCACGCCUCCGCCAAGGCCACGCCCCCUGAUCCUCGCUCAUCAGUCCACCAACUAGGGACCAAGCAGUCAAACAAUGAGCCCUUGGGCGCCAUUCUCAUUCAAAUUACCACAAGAAAUGAAGAUGAUGAGCCACUUUGGAAUAUAAUUCUUACAAAACUAACAUACUGUUACCAUACAUUCCUUUCUUUUUAUCCAGAGGGAGUGAAAACUGUGACCACACAAAACCUACAGCAAAUCUUCAUAAUAGCUUUAUUCAUAUCACCAAAACUUAGAAGUAAUUAAGAUAUUCUUUAACCGGUAAGCUAUGUGGUAUAUGUAGAUCAUGGAGCACUAUUCAGCACUAAAAGGAAGUCAGCUAUUAAAGCCACGGGAAGUACGGACGCAACUUAAGUGCUCACUAUAAAGUGAAGGGAGUAAAUAUGGGAAUGCCUUGCAAGCAUGAGGAUCUGAGUUCAGAUCCCCAGCACUCCCCUAUAAAGCUGGGCAGUGGCCGGGUGGUGAUGGUGCAUUCCUUUAAUCCCAGCACUCAGGAGGCAGAGGCAGGCAGAUCUCUGUGAGUUUGAGGCCAGCCUGGUCUACAGAGAUAGUUCUAGGAUGGCCAAAGCUACACAAAGAAACCCUGUCUUGGAAAGGGGGGUUCACAGUGGUGUGUGCCUGUUAUCUUAGCUCUACAUAAGUAGAGACAGGAGGGUACCUGGAGGACACUGGCCAAUUAGUUUUGAAUUGAUGAGCUCCAGGUUCAAUUAGUGACCCUGACUCAAAAGAUUAGAAAGCAAUAGAGAAAGACACCUGACAUUGACCUCUGGCCUCCACAAGCACUUGCACGCAUGCUGUGGGAUGUUCUCUAUGCUGUGAAUGUGUUGCUCUGAUUGAUUGAUAAAUAAAAUGCUGAUUGGCCAGUACCCAAGCAGGAAGUAUAGAAUAGGCAGUACAAAGAGAGAGGAGAAUGCUGGGGAGUGGAAGGCUGAGGCAGGGAGAUGCUGCCAGCCGCCAUGAUGAGAAGCAACAAGAUACCGGUAAGCCACGAGCCACGUGGGAACUUACAAAUUAAUAGAAAUGGAUUAAUUUAAGAUAUAAGAACAGCUAGCAAGAAGCCUGAGCCAUUAGGCCAUACAGUUUGUAAAUAAUAUAAGUCUCUGUGUGUUUACUUGGGUCUGAGGGCUGUGGGAGCCGGACAGGAACAAGAUAAUUUCAGCUACACACACAUGUGCACGUACACACGCACACACCACAUACACAGAAGGACUGUUAGAAUAGUAAGAAGAAAGAUACAGUGAGCAAAACUAUGUGUAAGUACAAAAAAAGAUAUUUCUUUGCUUUUUAAACAUUCCAAAUUACUUUUAACUGUUGAAUCAAAUGUUGAAAUAGUCUCUGAUGUAUGUAGAAGCAAUACUUGAUAACUAUGUUCUAAAGUAGCAGAAUAAUGGAAUUUAAAGGGAGAUAAAUUCAUUUGUGCUGAUAAUUUAUGAUGACCUAUGGGCUCUGAUUAUACACACACACACACACACAAAGAUUUGUCAUUCAAAUUGGUUUAAUAAAAUGCUGAUUGGCCAGUAUCCAGGCAGGAAGUAUAGGCAGGGUGACCAAACUAAGGAUGAUGGGAAGGGGGAAGGGUGGAGUCAGGAGUUACCAGCCAGACGCAGAGGGAGCAAAAGAUGAACGAACCAUGCUAAUAAAGGUACUGCCACAUGGCAGAGCAUAAAUAAGGACUAUGGGUUAACUUAAAAUGUAAGAGCUAGUUUGUAAUAAGCCUGAGCUACUGGCCACUGAGCAUUUAUAAGUAAUAUUAAGCCUCUGAGUGGUUAUUUGGAAACUGUCAGGUGGGAGAGAACUGUCCGUUUACAGUGAGAAAUUUACACCACUAAAAAUCUUACACAAAGUGAUUAUGCCCAAAAAGGACUAUAGAAAAAAUAAAAGUAAAAAUCUAAAAAGUGUGCAAGUUACCCACAGAAAAAGAAACACACAUGAGCAAAAAAGCAAAAUAGGGACUGGAGCCAUGGCUCAGAAGGUAAGAAUGCUUCCUGUACAAGCCUGAGGACCUGAGUUCAAGUCUCUGGCAUCACGUUAAAAAGCCAUGCAUGGCCACACAUGCCUAUAACCCUAGCAUUGAGGGGCAGAGACAGGCAGCUCCCAAGAGCUCACUAGCUACCUCAGCCAAAAUGGUGAACUUUAGGUUCAGUGAGAGACCUUAUCUCGAAAGCGUGAGGUCGAGAGCAAUAGAGGAAGACAUCUGACACUGGCCUCUGGCCUCCAUGCACACACAUGUGCAUAUACCCCACAUAAGCAUGCACACACAUGUGCAUAUACACUCCACACAAACAUGCAUACACAUGUGCAUAUACACCACACACAAGCAUGCACACACGUGCACAUAUCCCACACACAAGCAUGCACACACACAUGUGCAUAUACACCCACACACAAGCAUGCACACACACAUGUGCAUAUACACCGACACACAAGCAUAUACACACACAUGUGCAUAUACACCCCACACAAACAUGCAUACACAUGUGCAUAUACCCCACACACAGGCAUAUACAUGCACACAGAUAAAUAAUGGCAAAUUUAGGCCCUCAGAUCUCAACAAUCACCUUAAAUUUAAGUAGCUUAUAUCCAUAAAGACAGAAUUUGGCACAACUGAUUAAAAAUCAUGAUUAAGAGCUGGGCAGUGGUGGCACAUGCCCUUAAUCCCAGCACUCGGGAGGCAGAGCCAGGUGGAUCUCUGUGAUUUCGAGGCCAGCCUGGGCUACACAGCAAGUUCCAAGCUAGCCAGGGUGACAUAGUGAGACCCUGUCUCAAAAUAAAAACAAAAAACAAAACAAGUUAUUUUUAGAAAUUUCGGGGGGCUGGAGAGAUGGCUCAGUGGUUAAGAGCACUGGCUGCUCUUCCAGAGGUCCUGAGUUCAAUUCCCAGCAACCACAUGGUGGCUCACAACCAUCUAAAAUGAGAUCUGGUGCCCUCUUCUGUGUACAUAAUAAAUAAAUAAAUCUUUAAAAAAAAAAGUAGAAAGAAAUUGCUAUCAGAGGAUAACAGGGAAAUCUUUGAACACUUGCAAACAAAACAACACCUUUGUAAAUAAUCCAGGGGGCAAAGAGAAAGUCACAAAGGAAAUUUAAAAUAUUCUAAAUUAGGGGCUGGGGAGAUGACUUCAUCAGUAAAGUGCUUGCUGCAUUUCAGAAUGAAGCCCUGAGCUUGAACCCAGCACCCAGAUAAAAUAGCUGGAUGGAGGAGAGUGUCUGUAACCCCAGCCCUGGGAAGCUGGAGGUAGGAAGAGCCCGGGGCCUGGCUGCCCAGCCAGUAUAGUUACUUGACAGACUCCAGGUUCUGUGAGAGAUCCUGUCUCAAUAAAGUGGAGGGGCUGGAGAGGUGGCACCAGCUGCUCUUUCAGAGGACCCAGGUCAUUUCCCAGCACCCACAUGGUGACUCACAACCGUCUGUAACUCCAGUUCCAGGGCCUCCAAUGUCUUCCUCUGCUCUCUGUGGGCACCGGCCAUGCAUGGGCUGCACAGACACACAUGUAGGCAAAACACUCUUAUUAUGAAAUGAAAUAAAAGACCUUUAAAAUUAAAAAAUAAAGUGGACGGUGACUGGGGAAGUCACCUGAUGUCAACCUCUGAGUUGUGUGGACUCGGACACAUGCAUGUGCACAUGCACAGAUACACACACACUCACAGUUAACUGAAUUAAAUAAAAAAAAAUGCAACAUAUCAACACUUGGGGGGCCACAAACUUCAAUAGUGGUAGAUGGGGAAGUUUGUACCAUUGAACUCACAUAUUGGAGAGCAAGAAACUUUCAAAUCAACAGUCUUAAGCUCUUAUUUCAAGAACUGGGUGGGUGGGGCAAAAAUAAUUCCAAAGUAAGCAGAAGAAAGAAAUAUAAAGACAAGAACAGGAAAAAAAUGAAUGAAAUUGGAAACAAAGUAGCAAAAAUCAGUGACACACACAAAAAAAUCAUUAAAAUUGACACUCCCCUCACAAAGCUGACAAAAGAAGACACAAACUGCCAGAGUGAAAGGGGGUGUCACCAGAGUCUCUACACACAUCAGAUGGAUAAGGCAAUGGUGGGAAAACGCCACACACAAGGCUGGCAAGAUGGCCCUGCACAUAAUGGCGCUGGCCACCAGGCCUGGCCACCUGAGCUUGACCCCCUAAGCCCCACACAGUGGAAGGAGAGGACUGACUCCUGCAGAUUGUCCUCUGAGCACCACACUCACACCUCGGCCAGUUCAUUUGGGGUGUCUGUAGUGAGCGCCUGUUUAUACUGGAGGAGGGUUGGAAAGGAAUUGAGAGUCGGAGGUGAGGGAAGGCAGAGCCCGCUCAGGACCAGCCCGCCCAGCACUCCUCUGCAGAUGUCUGAGGAGAGCAUCACUCCCUCCUGCCCUGUUAACUUCCACGAUGGCCGAUGGCCCGAUGGCCCGCAGUGUUCGGCAACUUGUCAGCCUCCCUCCGUUCUUAAAGGCUGGGAUCACUUUCUGGUUGGCCACCACAUCAAAUCCCAUCACAGAUGUUUUCUUUUAGCUUCAGAUAGGACUAUUCUCCUCACUUUUCAGAUUUGGGCCCAAGGCCUUUCUUUGUACCUGUCUACACUGACGCCACCAUCAUCUCUCUUCCAUGGCGUACACCCACAACGCCUUCGCUAACAUCCUCAGCUGAAAAAAGAAAAAUAAAACAGCUUUGUAUUUGUUGAUCUCACAUAAGAAAUUCAAAUACGUUAUACUAUCUUUCACAAUAUCCCCUUUAAUUUUAAAACCCUCCCCACCUCCCUACCCCGUCUUUCAGCUUGGACCUCCUCAUCAGGGACUGAAAGCUGGAACGUGCUAAGGAAGCAGUGUGAGCACAGAGUCCUGGCGGGUCUUGGAUCCCCCACUCGUUUCCCCUGCGUCUCACCACGUCUCACCACGUCUCACCAGUGGGUAAUUGUAAUUCGAUACAAACUUUAAGCAACCUACUGUUGUGAAAGCUUCGCAAACAGCGUUAGUUUUUCACACAUAUUUUAUUGGUUUCUAUGACAUUUAGUUAAAUUAUCUAAGAAUAAUAUGUGCAGCUGGCAUAAACAGGCUGAGUUUAAAGCAAAUGACUCUUGGUGAGCAUGCCACUCAACCAAACAGGGAGGGAGUUUGCACAGUGCAUGAAAUCCUGGCUGUGAGCAUUUGAUGAGCCAUGAGUAUGGGCGGUGUGUUCCACACAGGAUGGAUGGUAUCCCUUAAGCCAGUGAGCCAGGGAAGCACAGGUUGUUCUAAAAGUUGUCUUGAUAUCAAUAAUAAUGACUAAAACUUACUGAAGGCCGCUCUUGCAGGCACCAUGCGGGGUGCUUCUGGAUGCCCUCAAUCAGGGGUUGCCUGAAGAAGGUCUCACUGGCCCCAUUUUGUAGAUAAGGAAAGGGAGGCUCGGUGGAGUUUCACCCUUCCCAAAGCUCAGCUUUGUGUCUGACUUAAAACCUGCACUUUUACACACGGCUCGGUGAGCAAGUGAACGCAGAGGGUGGGAAGGUCUGGAAGUUGGGGGACGUUUUCCCAGGGUCAGGAAGUGUCCCUGAAAGACCGAUGGGCUGAGUGUGAGUGGUUUCCUGAGAUGAGAGAGAAGUGUGAAGGAGAAGGUUAGGGGUCCUUGGGAGCCGGGGGAGUCCCGUAGCGGGUGCUAGAGGAUGCUCACACCCGGUGCCGGGACACGUCAGUCCACUUCUCACGUUCAUCCUGUCUGGGCUCAGUCAGCAGCGGCUCCUUCAGUUCGAGUCUGUCUGCUUUUAUUUCAACAGAAUCAGGCUGGAAUUUUAUUUAUUACAUUUGUUUAUUUGAUUGGGUGUGUGGCGCCUGUUCCCUGUGCAUAUGCGGAGGUUGGAGGACAGGUGGUCAGUUCUUCUCGCCCUCCACCACACAGGUCCCUGGGGAUUGAACUCGGGUCGUCAGGUUUGGCAGCCAGUACCUUUACACAGAGUCAUCUUGCCAGCCCUGGGUAAAUUUAUUUUUAAUCAUACUUAUAGGAUAAGGAGGGAAACAGAGCUACUCUCUCAAUGUCUGUCCCUGAUGGCCACAUAGGAACAGCCCAGCAGUUGACCCGUGGGGCAGAGUGGAUCAGGUAUAGUAAAUUUAGUCUGGCAUCAUGGCUGCACCAGGAAGUUCCAUCUUGAGCUUCCUUUUGAACUGUCCUUGCUGAGUGUCCAUCCUCUGGGCAGCUACCUACCUCCUACCUCAGAGCUGCUGAUGCCCUGGCCCCAGACUCCCAGGAAGACGUCAGACCUGGCUCAUCCCCUUGGUGUACAUCCCCUCUGUCCUCCCCAUCAGGCCCCAGCCUGGGCAACAAACCCCAAAGAGGCUGAGUUCCCUUCUAGACCUGUUCCUUCCUGCCCUGUUAAGCCGUGUUACCCAACUCCUGGCUGCGGUCCAAGCCUGGUUUCUGGGAGAACUGGGCUUUUGAUGCUGGCUGAGGUUUGGGUAAGUUCUGCCUCUGCCCAGAACUCAGCAGCGGUAUCGAUCGGCUCCUGUGUCUGCUCACCACAGCAUCCUCAGCACCUAAAGCGGUUUGCUAUGCAAGCAAAUGCUAUUUCCUGUUAUCAGUCAAUCAGUGACUGAACCCCUUUGGGUUUGGAAAGUCUAAGCUCUUAGCCAUGGCAUUUCACCUGCUGUAUACGGAUGGCUCUUUCCCCACACUGUGUGUCGAGCAGGCUGACACUGCUCCCAUGACUCCUGUGGAUAAACAAGUGGUGUCACCCUGCCACCCAUUUCCUUCAUGCUGUCAAUGGGUGCAUGCUUCAUGGUUCCCAGAGGAGAUGUUUUGGCUUCUUGUUUCCAUAGAUUACCCAUUAUAAAAAUGUUCUUCUUUCAUGGUGGCCACGUGAGGACAGACUGCCUUCUUAAUACCCAUGCUUACGCCCGUGGACUGGUACUGCUAUCAAACUUGGUCCAAGAAACUUCUUCUUUUUUUUUUUAAAUGGUCAGUGGUUACUGAAGAAACUUAUAAUUGAUCAAAGAGCUGAGAAUAAGUGACUGUGUGCGCUCAGCCCUAAAUGGAUAUCAACUCCCCCUCAAGGCUCAGGGAACACUGACUAAGAGGAGACAGAAUAGUGCUUCAAGAUGCUGUCUUCAGGACAGAACUCAACAGCUGUGCUUAUUUGCACAAGACCUGCGCAAGAACAAGCCAGACAACACUCCAGCAUGGAUGGGGAGGGGCUGAUGAGGUCCCAACCCCCAGCUGUCUGCACUGUUAACAGUUGAUUGUCAAUUUCCUUUGGGGGUGUGACUGCUGGGGCAGCACUAACCUACUCAGUGAAUUACAAGGAAAAGGGCAUAGAGCUGAGAUGAGGUGUGUUGGAGGGGUCUGGUUGGAGUGCGGGGUGGGUAAUGAUCAGGAUACACUGCACACAUGGAUGAGAUUGUCAAAGAAUAAGUAUAUUUUAAAUUAAAUAAAACCAUUUAAACCCUGUC